AUAAUUAAAUAGUGGCUCACGAAGGAGGCUGAGCUAAUUAGCAAAGUCCUCUAGGGCUAUAAUUUAUGUGUUGCAGCACAUAAAACAUAUUGCUAAUUAGGGGUGAUAGGCCUGUCAAGGUCCCCGAUAUCUUGUUUCCUAGGAAAUAUAUUAAGUAUAAGGUCAACUUAGGAGUGCUAAGGCUCUUGAGCAUAACUAAACUAGACUUGUGGGGAGCAACUUAUUUAACGAUAAUUGCUUAACUUACCUUAACACUUAUUACUUUAAUUUGUACUACCUACUAGGACAUGUGCUUAUAGCUAUUUAUGGUAAUGAUACUGUUAAUAUAAGUAUUAUACUAAAACUUAAACAGGAACUCGGCAACGAACUUCUCAACUGUUUAUCAAAAACAUAGCCGGAUGCUACAUAUAUCUGGUUUUUCCUGCUCCAUGGUUUACCUAAAUAGCCGCAGUACCCUGACUGUGCAAAGGUAGCAUAAUCAUUUGGCUUAUAAUUGAAGUCUGGUAUGAAAGGAUCCAUGGGAAGUAGCUGUCUUUUAGAGUUUAUCUGAAAUUACUUAACAAGUGAAAAUACUUGUAGAUACACAAUAGACGAGAAGACCCUAGAAAUUUUAUAUAAAUCAGUAGGUUUGUUGAUGCUAUUUUGUUGGGGCGACAGAAUAACAGGAAACUUAUUUUAUAUAAUUAGAACUGCGUGGUGAGUUAAAGCAAAUUACUCUAGGGAUAACAGCAUAAUCUAUUAGAGUUUGUGACCUCGAUGUUGGACUAGGGAUUUUAGUGUUUAGAAGACACUAAAACACGCUCUGUUCGAGCGGUGGCCCCUACAUGAUCUGAGUUCAGACCGGC
rnacentral:rRNA from 1 species